CCGGCGAUGUCCGAAUGGGGAAACCCAGUGCAAUUCGUUGCACUAUCGUUAACUGAAUACAUAGGUUAACGAGGCGAACCGGGGGAACUGAAACAUCUAAGUACCCCGAGGAAAAGAAAUCAACCGAGAUUCCCCCAGUAGCGGCGAGCGAACGGGGAGCAGCCCAGAGUCUGAAUCAGCUUGUGUGUUAGUGGAACGGUCUGGAAAGUCCGACGGUACAGGGUGAUAGUCCCGUACACCAAAAUGCACAGGCUGUGAACUCGAAGAGUAGGGCGGGACACGUGGUAUCCUGUCUGAAUAUGGGGGGACCAUCCUCCAAGGCUAAAUACUCCUGACUGACCGAUAGUGAACCAGUACCGUGAGGGAAAGGCGAAAAGAACCCCGGCGAGGGGAGUGAAAAAGAACCUGAAACCGUGUACGUACAAGCAGUGGGAGCACCUUCGGGUGUGACUGCGUACCUUUUGUAUAAUGGGUCAGCGACUUAUAUUCUGUAGCAAGGUUAACCGUAUAGGGGAGCCGCAGGGAAACCGAGUCUUAACUGGGCGUUAAGUUGCAGGGUAUAGACCCGAAACCCGGUGAUCUAGCCAUGGGCAGGUUGAAGGUUGGGUAACACUAACUGGAGGACCGAACCGACUAAUGUUGAAAAAUUAGCGGAUGACUUGUGGCUGGGGGUGAAAGGCCAAUCAAACCGGGAGAUAGCUGGUUCUCCCCGAAAGCUAUUUAGGUAGCGCCUCGUGAAUUCAUCUUCGGGGGUAGAGCACUGUUUCGGCUAGGGGGUCAUCCCGACUUACCAACCCGAUGCAAACUACGAAUACCGAAGAAUGUUAUCACGGGAGACACACGGCGGGUGCUAACGUCCGUCGUGAAGAGGGAAACAACCCAGACCGCCAGCUAAGGUCCCAAAGUCAUGGUUAAGUGGGAAACGAUGUGGGAAGGCACAGACAGCCAGGAUGUUGGCUUAGAAGCAGCCAUCAUUUAAAGAAAGCGUAAUAGCUCACUGGUCGAGUCGGCCUGCGCGGAAGAUGUAACGGGGCUAAACCAUGCACCGAAGCUGCGGCAGCGACACUAUGUGUUGUUGGGUAGGGGAGCGUUCUGUAAGCCUGCGAAGGUGACCUGUGAGGGUUGCUGGAGGUAUCAGAAGUGCGAAUGCUGACAUAAGUAACGAUAAAGCGGGUGAAAAGCCCGCUCGCCGGAAGACCAAGGGUUCCUGUCCAACGUUAAUCGGGGCAGGGUGAGUCGACCCCUAAGGCGAGGCCGAAAGGCGUAGUCGAUGGGAAACAGGUUAAUAUUCCUGUACUUGGUGUUACUGCGAAGGGGGGACGGAGAAGGCUAUGUUAGCCGGGCGACGGUUGUCCCGGUUUAAGCAUGUAGGCUGGUUAUCCAGGCAAAUCCGGAUAAUCAAGGCUGAGGUGUGAUGACGAGGCACUACGGUGCUGAAGUAACAAAUGCCCUGCUUCCAGGAAAAGCCUCUAAGCAUCAGGUAACAUCAAAUCGUACCCCAAACCGACACAGGUGGUCAGGUAGAGAAUACCAAGGCGCUUGAGAGAACUCGGGUGAAGGAACUAGGCAAAAUGGUGCCGUAACUUCGGGAGAAGGCACGCUGGUGUGUAGGUGAAGUCCCUGCGGAUGGAGCUGAGACCAGUCGAAGAUACCAGCUGGCUGCAACUGUUUAUUAAAAACACAGCACUGUGCAAACACGAAAGUGGACGUAUACGGUGUGACGCCUGCCCGGUGCCGGAAGGUUAAUUG
rnacentral:rRNA from 1 species